CCCCAGGUGGCGCCGUUGGAGGGAGGUGACAUGGCGGCGGGGGGGGGAUGGCGGGGGGCUGUGUCGCCGGCCGGGGGUUGCGGGCAAGGGGCCAGGCUUUGGGCCGUGGGCGGCUGGGCCUUCCCAGCGGCUCCUGGGGCUGGGGCAGGGCAGCCUGGCCGGCCUCCCCGCGGCCUGGCCGCGCGCCUCGCACAGCCCCAGCCGGUCUCAACGGCCAGGGAUGGCCGCUGCGUACUGCCCCCCAGGUGGCUGGCGUACGGGGGGAGUCGUGUGGUUUCAGUGCUCCUCCGCCUUUUUCUUUUUUUUAAUAGGAAGGAAUUGGUAGUUCUUACCAGUUGGGUCUUGAGAUUUAAAAUUGCAGGAGAAGAAGGGCUGAUACAGCUGCUCGGCUGUACUGGUCUUAGCUGAUUGCUCUCUUAAAAGUUGGCUGGGUGUUAGUACUGCAUUUGUCCAAAGAGGAACUUUGUCUGCUUUGUGCUCUUCCAGUUUGCAGGCUGGCAUAGUAGCUGAAGUGACAGCUGAUAACAGAUUUGGUCUAAGAGCCCGGAUGGUAAACUGGAGGGGCUGAGACCUGACUCUCAGAGAGUCCUUGCAGAUAGCUGAGGGUGCUGGUCUCUUAAAUUGCUACGGCACAGUCUGAAAAAGCUUGUUGGUCAGAGAGCUGAGAGCUUCCAAGCAGUGCAUGCUGUUAGUAAGAGCAUGGCUUGCUUCUGUGAACACUCUGUGCGUAAAACCACUCUCUAAGCCAAAUAUAAUAUUGUUAAUAGCAUGCUUACAGAUUACAUCUGUUCAGCAGUCGCAAUACCACAUACAAAAUUGAAGAGAUGGGAAAAGUUGAGGGGAAAAACCUAUCCCAGCAGGUAUUGUUUUCUGUUGAUUCAGUCCUUCAGACUUUUAAGAAACAAAGGUGACCGUGGAAGAAUAACACAAGUUUGUUAUUAUGAAUGGGUUGCAUUCACUCCUUUAAGGCCAACAUUCUGGUUUGAUCAACAGUAAAGAAAAACUUUCUUGUGAAAGCGUCCUUUCUCAGAACCCAUGUGGAAAUAGUUGGUACACACACGUACCAUUUGUUGGCACAUCUCUGAAUCUGCUAUCUUGUUCUCCAGAUUCUAGAGAAUGGCCUGGUUCAUACAGUUGAUCUGGUUUGUGUAGUUGGGAAGAAAGCCUCAAAAAUGUGAAAUAUGUAUAAACAAUUUAGACAUUUUUCAGCUGAAUUGCAGAAGGCCUAGACCAGCAGUUUCUAAAUUUUACUGGUUCUCAUUAAAAAAAAAAAAAAAAGAUUAUGACAUGCCAUCUUUUUCUUUUUUCCUUUGUUUAUUGAAUGUGAUUUUCUGGACUUUAUUAUAAUGAUAUUGGUAGAUUUUCCUAUCACUACAAUAAAAAAUUGAUUUAGGAAGCCAGAAUCAAUUAGCAUUACAGCUACCUGAAAAAAUAUUUUGCAAAAAACAUGACAUUGUAAAAUAAUAACUCUAGUUUUGGUGAAGAAGAGUUCAGAAUAGUUAGCCCAAUGAAGAUCUGUUUGAGCAAGGGAGGCAAGGUGGGUGAACUAACAUCAACUCUUACUUGAUCUAAAAAUGUGGGAAGCAGUGGAACAAUAUAUUUUGUAUAUAUAUAUUAAAAAAACAGUAGGAAAGAAAGCUCCUCUUUCUCCUCCUCCACCCUGAAAAGAUGAGACAUCUAUGCAUUUGCUUAGGAUAUGAGAAAUUCAAAUCCAGAUCUUUGAUUCUGGACCAGCUAAUGAUGAUACAACACUGCACUACCAACUAUCAGAUGCUCUUUUUUGUUUGUAUUUCAGUAUGACUUGAAAACUCGAUCUAACAGAAGCUUACUCAAAAAUACCUUCUAGAUGGGCCUCAGUUUUGACAAAUACAUUAUUAGUGGUGGAAAUGAGGCUUCAGAAAUGGAUAUACAGAAGGACCUGAGCAGAACUCAUGGUUGUAUGGACCCACCAAUAAUGGAGAGAGCUGUUGAGUAAACUAGGAGCCAGUAAAUGCAAAGACUAUUCACAGUCAUAUCCUGCAUAUUUGCACAAGCUAGUGUGAGUAGUACCUCUUUUUGUCAGAUCACUGUUACUUAGUUAAAUAUAAUUCAUUUCAACUGCUAGUUAUGUUGUGUGGGACAUUUUUAUUUGUAAGGAACACUUAAGGUAGAAGAGUACUGAGUGAGUUGGGGACUACUUAAGUAAACUGGACAUAUACAAAUGCAUAGAACCAGACAGCCUGACUCCAAGGGUGCUGACAGAGGUGACCAGUGUCAUUGUGAGGCCUCUAUUGUCUUUCAACAGUUGUGGUGAUCAGGAGAGGUCCCUGAAGACUGAAAAAGGGCAAAUGUUACACCCAUUUUCAAAACAGGGAAGAGGAUCUAGGGAGCUACAGACUGGUCAGUUUCACCUCAGUCCCUGGGAAAGUUAUGGAGCAAGUUCUCAUGGAGGCUGAUUCCUGGCACACAAGGGAUAGGAAGGUGAUUGGAAACAUUCAGCAGAAGAUGCCUGACCAACCUGAUUACCUUUAAGAUGAAAUGACUGGUUCUGUGGAUGAGAGUAGAGCAGGAGCACUUGACUUCAGCAUGGCCUUCAACAUAGUUUUCAUUAGCAUCCUUGGAGCCAAAGUGGGGCGGUAUGGAUGGGAUAGGUGGACUUACAAAGUGGGUUACAAAUUAUCUGGACUGUCAGGCUCAAAUGGUGGUGGUCAGUGUUUCAGAAUCUAACUAGAAACCACUCACACAUCAGCAACCUGGCAGUGUGACACAUUGCAUCUUCAGCCAGCUCAUUCCCAAUUUGUGGGGAGCAGUCAACCUGCUGGCAGGCAGAGCUGCCUUUCAGAGGGACUUUGGCAGGCUGCAGAAAUGGGCUGACAGGAACCUCAUGAAGUUCAACAAAGGCAAAUGCAAAGUCCCAUGUCUAGGAUGGAGUAACCCCUGCAACAGGCUGAGGGCUGGCUGGCUAGAAAGCAGCUCUGCAGAAAAAGAGCUGGGGGUCCUGGUAGACAAUGAGUUGAACAUGAAGCAGAAGUGUGCCCUGGCAGCAAGAAAAAUUGCAUUAGCAAGGCAGUAGCCAGCAAGUUGAGGGAAGUGAUUAUACUUCUCUGUUCAGCACUCAUGGGACUGCAUCUGGAGUGUUAUGACCAGUUUUGCCCCCCCCCCCCCCGACUGUCAGAGAGAUGUCAGGAAAAUGGAGAGAAUGCAGUGGAGGAGCACUAAGAUGGUUGGGGGCUGGAGCAUAUGCCAAGCAAGGAGAGACUUAGGGAGCUGGGUUUAUUUAGUCUAGAAAAGGAGAAGACCAGGUGGGAUCUAAUUUCAGUUUUAUACUACCUAAAGGAGGGUUGUGGAGAAGAUGGAGCCAGAUGCUCCUCAGAGGUGUCUGGUGAAAGAAUAAGAGACAAUGAUCACAAGUUGCAACAAGGGAAAUUGGAGUUGGAUAUAAGGAGAAAAUUCUUCACAAUGAGAGUGGCUGAGUGCUGGAACAGAGACCAGAGAGAUGGUGGAAUCUGCAUCGCUGGAGAUUUUGAAAACUUGACUGGACAAAGCCAAGAACAACCUGAUCUAACGAUGUUAGCUCUGCUUUGAACAGAAGGUUGGGCUAGAUAACCUCCAGAAGUCCUUCCAACCUAUGUUAUUAUGUUGAUUCUAAGCUAUAAAAUUAAUUGGCAAAAUACAUAGAUGGGGAAUUUCAAAUGAGGGCACAGGAAGUGCAGUCUCCUUCAAGGUCAGAAAAUGGGGAACAUAAGUAAGGCAAACUGCCUGAGCAGUCACACAUACACAGGCUGUCAUGGCUGUGCAGUCAAUCCCCUGUUUCCCAAAAGUCACCAAUUUAUGUGAAGGUCCGUGGGUAUGUCGCAGGUUUUCCUAACACGUGGCGGCUUGCUUGUAGUCCCUGUACAGUGGCUCUGAUCAUGCUGCCAUAUAUUGGGAAAUCCCAGACAAAUGAAGAAGUCCUCAGAGAGCCACUCAUGCAGUAUUAUCAGUCAGAAAAGAAAGAUGCGUCAGAGAAAAACAGUGUGGCAGCUUUAUAUUGAUGACAUUAUCAUAAUCUCUAUUUUUACAGGUUUUGAGAGACUGAAGUUGGUUCUUCCUUUAUGUUCCUAUUCAGAAAAAUUGGAAUAGGUGCUUUUAAACUAAAUUCUGUAUUAGUGAAUCUUUGUAGCCAUGAAUUGCUUUAUACAAGUAAAGAACAAAGAUUCAGCCAGAUAAUGCAGUAUUUGAACUUUACCAAAGUCACUCGCUCAAAUCAUAGUGGUUUGGCAAUGCUUGAUAUUUAUUUUCAGUGUGCAAGACCUUGAUAAGUCAUGGCACCAGUCCUAUAAAUGCUAUAGUAGUUGCUGUUUAUCGUUACCUACGAAAGUAGCUCAGUAGGCAGGACAUCAGAGAGCUACCACAGAAAUACAGCUCCAUAGCCAGCUCCAGAAGUUUCCAUAUAUUUACUUCUAAUAUAGUACAAAAGUGUGUUUCAGAGCACACUUUCAUUUGCCAUGCAGUUUUGACAGAAGAAUCGCUGCUCAAGUGUUUUUAAUUUAACUUCUAAUUUAAGUGGAAAGUGUUGAAAUUUCUAUCACAUUUGCCAUUAGAAGAUAUUUGUUCAGGAAAAAUAGUCUGAUAGAAGUUUGGAAAGUUGACUUACGUUCCCAGCAAGAACAUAGUACAUAUGUUUAACUGCUGUUGCAUGUAUCUAUCAACAGUGUACAGAUAUAGACUAACUUUCCAGGCUGUACAGAGUUGUGGUAGCUAUUUGACCACAUAUGGCUUCCUCGGUAGCCUAGUACAUUUGGCUUAGAGCUAUAUUCAAAAACAUGAAGACAAAAUCAGAGGAAUAAAAAGUUACUGAAGUAAGAUUUGUGUGGUUGCAAAUAAAAAUAAAGCUUAAGUUCACAAGUAUAGUGGUAUUUUAUUGUGUAUCUUAAUCUUCUGCCUGGUUCAAAAUAAAUUUCAAUAAAACUUACUGUUUAAUACUCUCUGAAUUAGUUCCUAUUUCUUGCAUUCAUGUAUUAGGAUGACAGAAACAGUGAUGGAAUAGGACACCCUUUACAAAGUGUCAUAAAAGCCAUUUCUCAUACACUGCUGCUGAUUUUGGUGGGGAGGGGUUAUUUGUUUUUUAAUGUGCAGGCAUUUGGAAGCCCCUCACUAGCAGGUAUGAAUGUGAAUUCUGAGAGACAUUUUGCAAAGCUGCUUGAACUUUGCAUUUUUGGGGGCAUGUGUUUGUAUUUAUUUGUCUAAAUGUAUCAUAUAAAGAUUUUCAGAUUGUUGUGCUCAAAUUUUCAGUACAUUUUAAUUUCCCUAAUCUGAAUUUAGAUUACGUGUCUUCAGUAUCUUCCAACAAUUUUGCAAUUUGAAAAUGAUGUUUAGCAAGUCUGUUCUAUGCUGUACACUUUGUCUUGGAAUUUUCUAAUGUUAGUUUGCAAUUGUGAAAUAAAAGACUUUUUAAUGUA